ensembl:snRNA U6 U6 spliceosomal RNA
UUUGGCAGCACAAAUACUUAAAAAAAAAUAGAAUGACGCAGAGAAGAUUAGCAUGGCCUCUGCACAAGGAUGUGAUGUGGUUUGGCUGCAUCCCCAAUCAAAUCU